CUGUGAUGAAGUCAUUUAGGGCUGGCGUGAGUUUAAAUUAGGCAGUGAUGUCGCCUCACACAUGCAGGAGCAUGCCUUGAACACACCAGCAUCUUCCACAAUGGUCUGCACACAAGAAUGGAUGCUUUCCUCAUACAAAAAUAAAUACUUCAAAAAUUAGGUAUCACUGGCUUCAUCACUAAAACCUGGAAAAUGCCUUCUCCUCUAUGUAUAGCAGAGUCACUUGAUGUUUAAAACCACGUUUGUGCUUCCAUCUCCCCAGUUAGCAUUGUUCUUUUUAAGAAGCACCUUCACCUCUUCUGUGUACACUUCAGACUCUGCCGAGUCGCUCGCACAAGGACUUGGAGCUUCUCUCCUACACGAGGAAUUUUCCUUGUGUGUAAGGAGGAGUGAGGAGUACUACUGUCCUCUUGCUACGUGCAGAAAGAAGCCCUGGGACUCAGAGACUCUGCCUACUCCUGUUAACACUUUGUAUUUUCUUCGGCUUGAGAGAGAACGUUGACCACACAUCCUUACGUUCAGAACUUUCCACAUUGGGCCAGUACUAUUCCAAAAAAGAGAACGUUUGUAACAAUAUGGAAUUGUGAAACAGGCUGCCCUGUAGCAAGACAGAAAUGUGUGUGCAUCUAUCUGCCUACGCGAAGUCCAUGAUGCCUCUUACCAAGAAAACUAUCUUCAGUCUUUGGAGCCUGAGCAUUUUGAGAUUUCUAACCAGCCAUAAGUCUGUGCUGACCCUUGGUUUCCCAGAGAUCUCCAAGCACAUCUGAGCUAUAGCAAUCUCCCUGCAUCCCAGAUUUCUUCUAUGGUGUCAUUAAAAUGUGUCUUUUCUUUCUCCUAUGCUCACAGUGUUGCUCUUGGCUUGUCCAUGAACUAAUCUGAUACCUGUAUCAAGCUUAAGAUAUUAGUAGAGGCUAACGUAUUGAUGGUUCCCAUCUCAUGAAUCAUCUUUGCAUUUUAAUAGCAGUCUAUUAGCCUACUACAGAUGAUAAGUUUAAUGCCACAAAUAUUGCCUUAAUUUGGUAAGAAUUCUAGGCACCAAGACAG
rnacentral:lncRNA from 13 species